rnacentral:lncRNA from 10 species
GGCUGGGCCUCCAGUCCUGCUGUCACUGCCUCUGGGGUCCGGCUUGAACACUUGCUGGCUGGGGGAGCCCUGCAGGGAAGAUGAGGCAUCAGGGGACUGAAGUCUGCCAGCAGGGAUCGGGCUUGUGAUUACAUCCCAUGGGUGGCCCCCUGGUGACAUUAGAUCAGGGGCUGCCCUGUGUAGAGAGCUGGUGUUUCUUGGGACACAGUGGUGGCUUGCGAAUGGCUGUGGGCGCAGAGGCUGCAGUGAGCAUGUUUCAUUUUGCCACACGGGGGAAUGCUCUUCCUACACCAGGUGCCUUCCGUGGGCCUAAAUAUUUCAGUGGCAGGCAGCACAGCGUCACCUGAGAGGCUGCUAGAGAUGCAGAGAGCCAGAUCCGACCUGGGCCCGCUGAAUCAAAAUCUGCAUCUUAUCAAGAUCCCCAGGGGAUUUGUAAAAAAUAGAGCAUGGGAAGAAACAGCCUGCUAAUCCACAGAGAUGCCCUGGAUCACCCUUGGGACACCUAGAUUUUCUCCACAUGAAGCCUGUUAGGUGAUUUGACAGUUGGAGACCUUCCUGUUAACAGCCAUUAUAAUAAAACAUUCCCCCAAACCAAAUUCGGCAAUUAUUAACAAGUUGAAACAGAA